rnacentral:rRNA from 1 species
AUUCCAGCUCCAAUAGCGUAUAUUAAAGUUGUUGCAGUUAAAAAGCUCGUAGUUGGAUCUCGGGAGCGAGCGAGCGGUCGGGCGUUCAGCCGUGUACUUCUCACUCAUCCUACUGACCGGUACGUGCCCUGUGCUCUUAACCGAGUGUAGGGACCGUCUGGUGCGUUUACUUUGAAAAAAUUAGAGUGCUCAAAGCAGACGAGUCGUCUGAAUAGCCGUGCAUGGAAUAAUGGAAUAGGACCUCGGUUCUAUUUUGUUGGUUUUCGGAAGUCGAGGUAAUGAUUAAGAGGGACAGACGGGGCCAUUCGUACUGGGCCGCCAGAGGUGAAAUUCUUUAACUGGCUCAUGACGAACAACUGCGAAAGCAUUUGCCAAGAAUGUUUUCAUUG